rnacentral:rRNA from 1 species
UACAGGGGGCCCGAGCGUUAAUCGGAAUCACUGGGCUUAAAGGGUGCGUAGGCGGAUCAGGAAGUGUUUCGUGAAAACCCCCCGGCUCAACCGGGGGAACUGCGGGGCAAACUCCUGAUCUUGAGGGAAGUAUGGGCGGACAGAACUAUCGGUGGAGCGGUGAAAUGCGUAGAUAUGAUAGGAAUGCCGAUGGCGAAGGCGGUCCGCGUGGGACUUCUCCUGACGCUCACGGCACGAAAGCGUGGGGAGCAAA